rnacentral:lncRNA from 1 species
AUUCGACACAGGAUAUAUUUGACAGGGUGGGAGACAAAUCUCAGAAAAAAAUACAACAGCAUGAUGCCUUCAGUAUCCCAGUUGUCUAGGAGAUACCCUAGUGUAUUCCUUUUAAAAUGAAGAAAUCUUGUAGCUACAAAUUGCAACACUUGUGAGUUCUUUGUUGCUAGAAGAAGAUGCUUGGUGGUGUGGACUGCUCUGACCAACCAGCUGUCCCAAGGGUCUGAACUUGAUGGCUGCAACAGCAACAAACAAGGUUCUCAAGUUGCAACUCUUUCCAGCUCUAAGCUGCCUGUAAAUUAAAGACCAUGUGGUAAGGAUUCAGCAAGACCAGAAGUUGUCACAAGAACUUUCCAUGUGUUGGACACAAACAGGAUUUGUCAUCUGCAGCCACAGAAGUGGUUCUCUGCUCUUGAAACGCUUGGAUAAGAUGCCUCUGGAGCAGAGAAGAGACGGAGGGACAUCCAAGGAGUAGACCAAGAAGGGAGGUUAAUUACUUAAUUUUCUAACUCAUUUCUAUGCGGUGUAAGAUUGUUGUCUUCUUGUCAGCUUAUUUAUGUUCAUCCAAUUAAUCUGAUUUCAACUGUCACCAAAUAAAAUGCAGCAUAUGUUUCAAUAUGUGGUACUCAAGCCUACUUUAC